rnacentral:rRNA from 1 species
UGGCUCAGAUUGAACGCUGGCGGCAUGCCUAACACAUGCAAGUCGAACGGCAGCACAGCAGUAGCAAUACUGUGGGUGGCGAGUGGCGGACGGGUGAGUAAUGCAUCGGGACCUACCUAGACGUGGGGGAUAACGUAGGGAAACUUACGCUAAUACCGCAUACGUCCUACGGGAGAAAGCGGGGGAUCUUCGGACCUCGCGCGGUUAGACGGACCGAUGUUCGAUUAGCUAGUUGGUAGGGUAAUGGCCUACCAAGGCGACGAUCGAUAGCUGGUCUGAGAGGAUGAUCAGCCACACUGGAACUGAGACACGGUCCAGACUCCUACGGGAGGCAGCAGUGGGGAAUAUUGGACAAUGGGCGCAAGCCUGAUCCAGCAAUGCCGCGUGUGUGAAGAAGGCCUUCGGGUUGUAAAGCACUUUUAUCAGGAGCGAAAUACUACUGGCUAAUAACCGGUGGGGCUGACGGUACCUGAGGAAUAAGCACCGGC